rnacentral:rRNA from 1 species
UACAGAGGGUGCGAGCGUUGUCCGGAAUCACUGGGCGUAAAGGGCGCGUAGGUGGCGCUCCAAGUCUGUGGUGAAAGCUCGAUGCUUAACAUCGAGUCGGCCACGGAGACUGGAGGGCUCGAGCACUGUAGGGGCAGAUGGAAUUCCGGGUGUAGCGGUGGAAUGCGUAGAGAUCCGGAAGAACACCGGUGGCGAAGGCGGUCUGCUGGGCAGUUGCUGGACA